rnacentral:lncRNA from 1 species
CCUACACCCAAAGAAUCCAGAAGCUCAUCUAUGCCUCUGUUUAGGCGGUUCCACGUUCUGACUCCACUAGGCACAGGACUCUCAUUUGCUCAAAAAACUCCAGUGCACAUGGAGCUGAAAAGUCAGCAGUAGCUUGAGAACUUGGAAGGAGAACAGAGAUGUGUAAAGCGUCGACUGGAACAGAGGAAAGUCGAAAUGAGGAACAAAAAGUCUGAAGUCCUGAAAAUGAUACACAUUGCAGCCUCUUUGCCUUUCUUUUACUUCCUUUAUUGUUCUCACCUCAUCAUGAAUUAGAAUGCAAUGCAGGAGCAGCAUGACAGAUCUUGCCCACUGAGCCACUAAAGGAAAAGAAAUUACAAAAUUUUUAAAUGAAAAAUCAUGAAUAAGUAAAGCAAGAGACUAUUUCUCUCUGACAUAGCAGCCUGCCCUCACUGCCCUGCAUUCUCAGAGGGAGAUGGAGACAGAGACAGAGGAAUGAAGAAGCCCAAUGGAAUCCACUCACUGAUAAACAACCAAAGGUCAUUAGUUUCUGUAACAUAAGCUUCUAAUGAGACACAUCAUCAUCACUGAAUCCCCUGUGCCCAGCUCAGAAAGCUCAAGCACAACAAGUGUUCAAUAGUUUAAGUAAAAGAGUUGAAUAGUAAAAUCUGUUCUUGGCAACAUAAAAAUUAUGUGCCUACUAAAGGUGAAAUGAUUGCAGUUGGGUAAUUCCUCCACCUCCUUAGACAAAAGAAAUGUUUGCUCUCAGCACCUGAGGGCUGUUGACAUUUUUGAUACCUGGGGACUAAGUCAGGAGAGCAGGAGGUCACCACUGAGGACUGAGGUCCUUCAUGCAAACACUCUAGGAGCCAGGGUGACGGUCCUGAAGGAUAAAUUAUUUUGCCAACACAGAAAUAAGCCCCUCCACAGAAAAGAAAUCCUCAGGAUUGAAGUCCUCAGGAUGUGGUGAGCCUGCCCUCAGUUCUUGAGUCCAGGGGAGUUCAGGAUGAGGCCUCUGUCACUGUGGAGGAGCUAUGAUGUGUACUAGACGUGAUAUGUACCUUGUGAGUGGGGUGGUGCUGGG